rnacentral:rRNA from 1 species
GUGACUGCGUACCUUUUGUAUAAUGGGUCAGCGACUUAUAUUCUGUAGCAAGGUUAACCGUAUAGGGGAGCCGUAGGGAAACCGAGUCUUAACCGGGCGUUAAGUUGCAGGGUAUAGACCCGAAACCCGGUGAUCUAGCCAUGGGCAGGUUGAAGGUUGGGUAACACUAACUGGAGGACCGAACCGACUAAUGUUGAAAAAUUAGCGGAUGACCUGUGGCUGGGGGUGAAAGGCCAAUCAAACCGGGAGAUAGCUGGUUCUCCCCGAAAGCUAUUUAGGUAGCGCCUCGUGAACUCAUCUCCGGGGGUAGAGCACUGUUUCGGCUAGGGGGCCAUCCCGGCUUACCAACCCGAUGCAAACUGCGAAUACCGGAGAAUGUUAUCACGGGAGACACACGGCGGGUGCUAACGUCCGUCGUGAAGAGGGAAACAACCCAGACCGCCAGCUAAGGUCCCAAAGUCAUGGUUAAGUGGGAAACGAUGUGGGAAGGCCCAGACAGCCAGGAUGUUGGCUUAGAAGCAGCCAUCAUUUAAAGAAAGCGUAAUAGCUCACUGGUCGAGUCGGCCUGCGCGGAAGAUGUAACGGGGCUAAACCAUGCACCGAAGCUGCGGCAGCGACACUGUGUGUUGUUGGGUAGGGGAGCGUUCUGUAAGCCUGUGAAGGUGGCCUGUGAGGGUUGCUGGAGGUAUCAGAAGUGCGAAUGCUGACAUAAGUAACGAUAAAGCGGGUGAAAAGCCCGCUCGCCGGAAGACCAAGGGUUCCUGUCCAACGUUAAUCGGGGCAGGGUGAGUCGACCCCUAAGGCGAGGCCGAAAGGCGUAGUCGAUGGGAAACGGGUUAAUAUUCCCGUACUUGGUGUUACUGCGAAGGGGGGACGGAGAAGGCUAUGUUGGCCGGGCGACGGUUGUCCCGGUUUAAGCGUGUAGGCUGGUUUUCCAGGCAAAUCCGGAAAAUCAAGGCUGAGGCGUGACGACGAGGCACUACGGUGCUGAAGCAACAAAUGCCCUGCUUCCAGGAAAAGCCUCUAAGCAUCAGGUAACAUCAAAUC